rnacentral:lncRNA from 1 species
UCAAUGUUUGUAUACCGACAAACAGCAAGAUAUUUUUUAAAAAGUUUUUUAGCUUGUUUAGCACCAAAAAACCGGGAUGUUGUUUAUUUUGUUAAGUACUUAAGUUAGACCGAUUACACUUCUAAAAUACCAUGUACUUAGUGCAACAAAUUUUCAGUUGAUGAUGGAUCCAUUAUUUGUAGUCAAUGUUUAAUAGUUCAAGUGAUAUUGAAGACUUGAAUACGUUUGUUACAACAGGAUUGAAUUUGUUUACAAAGAAAAGAAAUAUGGAAAUAGCAUCUUCUCAAUUGCUAAAACCUAUUUAUUCUGGUCAAAAAAUCUUUCUAACGGAGAUCUCCUUAGUCUAUUGUCAGAAGAUCAAUCACAUGAUCUUUUUAAUGCUUUUGUUUUAGCUUUUAACAAGUUGAAGGCUGAAGUAGCUCUGAGUGCUUACAUUUCUGAAAGAGAUAAAAAACGUUUCUGUAGCUCACCAGAAGCAUAUUGUAGAACUGAAAUCCCUUGAAGAUAUUGGCAAAUCAUCUAAAAGUUCUAAUGAUUUAGAUAUAAAGACAACUAUUAUGAUUGAUGAACCACCUGGAUGUUCAGUAAAUGUGAGUUGUGUGUUAUAUAUAUAUAUAU